rnacentral:rRNA from 1 species
AAUCAACGCUGGCGGCGUGCCUCAGACAUGCAAGUCGAACGAUUAAGACUUCCUUCGGGAAGUGCAUAAAGUGGCGCACGGGUGAGUAACACGUAAGUAAUCUACCCUCGAGUGGGGAAUAACGUUCGGAAACGGACGCUAAUACCGCAUAACGCAGCGGCACCGCAAGGUGACAGUUGUUAAAGGAGCAAUCCGCUUGAGGAGGAGCUUGCGGCAGAUUAGCUAGUUGGUAAGGUAAUGGCUUACCAAGGCUACGAUCUGUAACCGGUCUAAGAGGACGGUCGGUCACACUGACACUGAACAACGGGUCAGACUCCUACGGGAGGCAGCAGUCGGGAAUUUUGGGCAAUGGGCGAAAGCCUGACCCAGCAACGCCGCGUGAAGGAUGAAGUAUUUCGGUAUGUAAACUUCGAAAGAAUGGGAAGAAUAAAUGACGGUACCAUUUAUAAGGUCCGGCUAACUACGUG